GCGGGAGUAGCUCAGUUGGUAGAGCACGACCUUGCCAAGGUCGGGGUCGCGAGUUCGAGUCUCGUUUUCCGCUCCA
rnacentral:tRNA from 1 species